GCCCGGUUAGCUCAAUCGGUAGAGGUUAGUCAACACUCACACGGUACAUACUUCUGAUCCUGUGAUACUAACUGGUCAAAUAGCGUGAGACUCUUAAUCUCAAGGUUGCGGGUUCGACCCCCGCAUCGGGCU